AUUUCCUGUCAGAAUAACAUUGAAAAUAUUCGAUUGCACAUGGUUUUGAACAAAUCUACCUGAAUAUUCUUAUCAGAUAUUCGUUUACACGAUGAAAUUAACAUUGAGCAUAUAGGUAAGGGUUUGGUAGUACAGACAACUACAGCGUAAAAAAAACUGUGCCACUUCACAUGUUUCACUUCUUUACGUUUGUUAAGUCAGAAGAUAAAAACAGAGAACAUGGAAUAUCGAUUAACUGCAUCUCUUAUGCGCUUUCUUUUAAUCUUAUUCAUAGUUACUUUCAAACGCAAAG
rnacentral:lncRNA from 1 species